rnacentral:rRNA from 1 species
UACAGAGGGUGCAAGCGUUAAUCGGAAUUACUGGGCGUAAAGCGUGCGUAGACGGUUAUGCAAGACAGAUGUGAAAUCCCCGGGCUCAACCUGGGAACUGCAUUUGUGACUGCAUGGCUAGAGUGCGGCAGAGGGGGAUGGAAUUCCGCGUGUAGCAGUGAAAUGCGUAGAUAUGCGGAGGAACACCGAUGGCGAAGGCAAUCCCCUGGGCCUGCACUGACGCUCAUGCACGAAAGCGUGGGGAGCAAACAGG